rnacentral:rRNA from 1 species
UACGUAGGGGGCAAGCGUUGUCCGGAUUUAUUGGGCGUAAAGAGCGUGUAGGCGGCCAUACAGGUCAGCUGUGAAAACUCGAGGCUCAACCUCGAGACGUCGGUUGAAACCGUAUGGCUAGAGUCCGGAAGAGGAGAGUGGAAUUCCAGGUGUAGCGGUGAAAUGCGUAGAUAUCUGGAGGAAUACCGGUGGCGAAGGCGGCAUCCUGGACCGGCAUUGACGCUGAGGAGCGAAAGCUAGGGGAGCAA